AGGAACUUCCUGUCGGUCACUGCCUUCAAACCAGCCGUGUUGAGAGUUAUUUACAUCAUGGAGCCGGACAAGAAACAUCCACUCAAAGGUUUCUUCAGGGUGCGUGAAGUGGAGGAGCGGUGAGGUAAGAGUUAUCCCUCUCUGACUGGACAGCUACCAGGCUCUUUCACUUUGGUGUUUAUACAAGAAGCAAGCCAAGAAGAUUUUUAUUUGUCAGAGAGAGAGAGCGCAC